AUCAAAGACAAAUUUGACGUUCUGUGUGUCAGUGGCGCACGUCAUGUGGGAAUAGAUCUCCUUUACGUCUCGUCGCAUGUUGAGCUCCAGGAACUGCACCUUGAUGUAGUUGCCGGCAUCCUCGAAGAGCACGAUGGAUGUGGUGGCGAAGUAGCGGUGGUUGCAGAUGCUGUUGAACAGGUGCAGGCUCUCGUGCAUACGGUUCUGAGGAGAGCAUCGGCUGUCGGGCACCAGAAGACACCAGCAGUCGCCCUCACAUGGGCGGCGCCCAACAGACCCGCCCAGGGUUUUCCGGCUCCCAUAGUUCGCAGAGAGCCUCCGAAUUUCCCCCUCCAGCAGGGCUGCGGGCUGCCUGCUGGCCUCCUCCAGACCGCCCUGGAACAACUCUCUGCUCUCAGAUGCUCCCCAGUUCCGCUUUCUUCUUCAAACAUUCAGGACUAGCUUGGCACUCACCACUUCAUCAUCCUCCACCAGCACCAUGUCGUAGGCGCUCAGCGCCGCGAUGAAGAUGAUGCAGGUCACUCCCUCAAAGCAGUGGAUCCACUUCUUGCGCUCCGAGCGCUGCCCACCCACAUCAAACAUCCUGUGAGGCAUAGGGGACCUGAAACUGCGCCUCCAGCGCCUCCCUGGGGUUCUCUUUCCUCCCUGGAGCUGGCUGGGGAGCUCUCAGAUGGGACUGGCAUCUAGGGGCGCCGGACCUUUCCUCUGGCAGGGCAUCUGAGAAGGGGCAGGGAGCGAGUCUAGGGGCUGUGAACUCCGGGGAACUCAGGGCAGUCCUGAGCAAGAGCAUCAGAUCUUACCGGAAGUUGAGAUCCUUGAAGGAGAAUUGCGUCUCGAUGAUACCUGUGGUCUUGACACGAGAACGCAACACGUCCUGCUCAGUAGGCACAUAGCCCGGAGCCACCAAGCGCUCCAGGUCUGAGAGGUAGCUGUGGGAGACACCGGGUGUGGGUGGGUGGGUGAGCUAGAGGGGCUCAGAAGAGUCCCGCCCGCACCCUCCCGCCCUGCCUGCGAAAGCUCACUAGCCCGCAGAAUCGUUCAGCUGGUACUCCGAGGCGCGUUCAUAACAAGCCUGGAUACCCGAGUCCUUCCACAGCCGCUGAAUGAUGUCCGACAUCUCUUUCGGCAUCGUACCCUCCUCAAUCGUGUCUGCCAUGUGCAUCAGUUUCCGGGCAUCGUCCUGGGGGACAAGGUGGGAUUGGUAGUUGAGGACGGCGAAUUGGAGCCCUUUUGGGCGCCUCCAGUUCCCGGGGGCCCCAUCAGCCCUUCUCGUGGCGCACCUGGCGCGCUGGGUCUCCAUACUGAAUGUUGAGCGUGGUCAUAGCCCGCACGAUGGCCAAGAUGGAUUGCAGAGUGUUGCCAUAGAUGAUGGCAAUGAACUCAAGGCACUCUUCCAGCGAGUACCCGUCUUGAUGGAUAAUCCUGUGGCCAAGGCGAGCAGAGUCAGCGUCUUGUGAGGCAGUAGUGAAAAAUAGGUCCCAGUGUUCUUGUACCCACCCCCAGGGGUUUCGGAAGGGCAGGGGCACUCACUUCAUCUGCUUGACAAUGGUGCUUUUCCCGGACUCACCCGCACCUGAAAGGGAAGCUGCGCUUUAGAGCCGCAUGGAUCCCCUCCAUUUCCCUGAGGGAGGCCACAAGAGGAGUUAGGCAUCCCUUUGGACCCGCAUCCAAGGGGCCAGCACUCCAGCUAGAUCCCUAGUCAUACCUGCCCUCACCCCACCCGCAGUAAGCAUUUAAGCACUGUCGGAAAACGUUUGUAAAUGUCAGCACAAUGACAAAAGGGAGCCAAUAAACAAAAUCAGAAAACUUAACUGUCCAGGGAAUCUCCAGGACCCUGGUAUAAAGCGUUCUUUAUUAUGCUGUGAGACCAAAAUAAAGAAAUCCUGGAGCUCCA